rnacentral:rRNA from 1 species
UACAGAGGGGGCGAGCGUUGUUCGGAAUUACUGGGCGUAAAGGGCGCGUAGGCGGCCUGCUAAGUCAUACGUGAAAUCCCUCGGCUCAACCGGGGAACUGCGUGUGAUACUGGCGGGCUUGAAUCCGGGAGAGGAAUGCGGAAUUCCAGGUGUAGCGGUGAAAUGCGUAGAUAUCAGGAGGAAUACCGAUGGCGAAGGCAGGUCUCUGGGCUGACACUGACGCUCAUGCACGAAAGCGUGGGGAGCAAACAGG